rfam:Ophiophagus hannah scaffold2190.1, whole genome shotgun sequence.
ACAAAGGUUUUUUUAAAAACUACACAAAGAUAAAAGAGGUAGAAA